CAUACAUCACCCUGUAUCAAAAAAGAAAAAAAAAAUACAGUAAAGAUUAGUAUGGCCCCUGUCCAAGGAUGACACACAAAUUUGUAAAAUGUUUCAUAGUUUU
rnacentral:snRNA from 1 species